rnacentral:lncRNA from 1 species
CCAUGCCUUUUUCUGAAAGAUAAGAACGUUGGGAAGUUUACAGUUAACAAAUUAAUAUUUUUUUCCUGCGGGAAUUAAAUUAAAUAAAUUUGGUCCAAAAAGAUUAUCAAUCAAUGAGAUCAUUUGACCAAAGCCAAAGCCAAAGCCAAAUCCGAAUCCGAAGCCGAAGCCGAAUCCGAAGCCGAAGCCGAAGCCGAAGCCGAAGCCGAAGCCAAAUCCAAAGCCGAAGCCGAGCCGAGCCGAGCGACGACGGCGCGAGGGGAGUCCCUCUUCUUAACCCUUUAAGAGCUAGAAGAAGUGCUUUCUAAUAUAAGCACAUAAC